rnacentral:rRNA from 1 species
AUACGAAAGGUGCAAGCGUUGUUCGGAUUUACUGGGCGUAAAGAGAGUGUAGGUUGCUUAUUAAGUCGGAUGUGAAAUCCCGGGGCUCAACCUCGGAACUGCAUUCGAUACUGGUAGACUAGAGUUCGGGAGGGGUAAGCGGAAUUCCGUGUGUAGCAGUGAAAUGCGUAGAUAUACGGAGGAACACCUGAGGCGAAGGCGGCUUACUGGACCGAUACUGACACUGAGACUCGAAAGCGUGGGUAGCAAACAGGAUUAGAAACCCGGGUAGUCC